UAGCAUAUCAAUAAGCGGAGGAAAAGAAACCAACAGGGAUUGCCUCAGUAACGGCGAGUGAAGCGGCAACGGCUCAGAAUUGAAAUCCGGCCCCCGGGCCCGAGUUGUAAACUGCGGAGGAUGCUUCUGGCGACGCGCCUGCCGAGUUCCCUGGAACGGGACGCCUCAGAGGGUGAGAGCCCCGUACGGCCGGACGCGGAGCCUGUGUGAAGCUCCCUUGACGAGUCGAGUAGUUUGGGAAUGCUGCUCUAAAUUGGAGGUAAAUUUCUUCUAAAGCUAAAUACCGGCCAGAGACCGAUAGCGCACAAGUAGAGUGAUCGAAAGAUGAAAAGCACUUUGGAAAGAGGGUGAAACAGUACGUGAAAUUGUUGAAAGGGAAGCGCUUGUGGCCAGACUCGCGCCUGGCGGAUCAUCCGGCCUCGGCCGGUGCACUCCGCCGGCGCGGGCCAGCACCGGUUCGCGGCGGGGGAGAAAGGCGGCGGGAACGUGGCUCCCAGGAGUGUUACAGCCCGCCGCGCAAUGCCCCGCGGCGGACCGAGGUUCGCGCUCACGCAAGGGUGCUGGCGUAAUGGCCAUCAGCGGCCCGUCUUGAAACACGGACCAAGGAGUCGUCCUCGUAUGCGAGUGUUUGGGUGCAAAACCCCGGCGCGUAAUGAAAGUGAAUGCAGGUGGGAGCUUAGGCGCACCAUCGACCGAUCCCGAAGUACUCGGACGGAUUUGAGUAGGAGCAUGCGGGGCCGGACCCGAAAGAAGGUGAACUAUGCGUGUAUAGGGUGAAGCCAGAGGAAACUCUGGUGGAGGCUCGCAGCGGUUCUGACGUGCAAAUCGAUCGUCAAAUAUGCGCAUGGGGGCGAAAGACUAAUCGAACCUUCUAGUAGCUGGUUUCCGCGAU
rnacentral:rRNA from 1 species